UGCGUAGGCCAGAUGACCGCGGGCACAGGGCCGCAAGGCCGUGUUCGAGGAAAGUCCGGGCUCCAUAGGGCAAGGUGCUGGCUAACGGCCAGUAGGGGCAACCCUAAGGAAAGUGCCACAGAAAUGAAAACCACCGCCAUAAAGCGGCAAGGGUGCAACGGUGAGGUAAGAACUCACCAGCGGUCAGGUGACUGGCCGGCUAGGUAAACCCCACCUGGAGCAAGACCUAAUAGGAGGAGCAUGACGCGGCCCGCCGACUCCUCGGGUAGGUUGCACGAGGCGCUAGGCAACUAGCGUCCCAGACAGAUGGUCAUCCAUGACAGAACCCGGCUUACAGGCCUGCGCACUAU
rnacentral:RNase_P_RNA from 1 species